UAGGCAUCCAAUCUAGAUACCAAUACUUAGAGGUUUUAUAAAUUGGGUAACAUAAGACAAAUCUGAUCAGGAGCUGCAAAAAAUAUUUGUUUAUUUAUUUACUAAUAUUUUCCCAGGUAAAUCCCUUCAGCAAAGCUGAUAUAAAUAGGUGACAUGGAUAACAAAAUUAUAAGGGAAAAGAAAAAUGUAUCCCCUUCCAUUGACAUUUGGGGCUAAACAUGAUUUUUUUUUCAGUGACAGGAAAGGAUUAUUGCUGCCGGGGAGGAGGCUGAAGCUGCACUUUUACGAAGAAGAGAGAACAUAGACCGAAGAAAUGUUCGAGAGGAGCAGGGAUAGGGAAAGACAACGUUUGUUAGAAAUUGAAGAGAGACAGAAAAAAUAGACGUGACCAGCAAGACAGAGAGUACGAAGAAGGGUUAAGAAGAGAUCAAGAGAGGGACCUACAACACCUCGUCGGUGCUGAAGGCGAAGGCAACAUUAGAGUCCGUCUCCGUGGAAGGGACACAACCUUCCAAAGACGUUUCACUGCUUCCGAUACAAACGAGCUCUUGUAUCAAGUGGCCAUUGCCAACCUGCGCGAGAGGAAUAUCACUAUCCGAAAUGCCAGUGGAAGAAUCAUUGAAAGAAAUGACGAUCCUAUUGACGUUGUAGACGCAACGACACUAAUGGUCUUUCAUGACUUGGGUAUACUAGGAGCAAGAAUGGAUGAGAAAAAAGGAAUAAAUGGAAUCAUUUUAUCAAUUUCCAACUUUGUUUACCAUGGUGGCGCGAGGUAAAAAAAAGUUGCCCUCUGCUGUGGACUAGUUGUACAUCCCCUCCUCUCCUGAUUUCGAGCACCUGAAUUCUUUUGUAGGGGGUUACACCACAGAUGGGCCCCCCAGAUGACAUUCGUUUUGACCUUCCCCCUAAGAACCUGUCUAGGCUAAAAAUAGGUUCUUAUUACCAGUUUAUGUUUGUAUUCUUAAUACCG